AUAUUCCGCUAGGGGUGCCUAUAUAUAGGCUGAGAUGGACGUGCGACGUCCGGACUCUUACUACCUGAUCUAGUUCAUACUAGCGUAGGGAAGUGGAGGCUCCGAAAC
rnacentral:ncRNA from 2 species